UUGAGGGUGCCCGCGAGACUGUCAACGAGGGGAGUGAGCGCCGGCGCGGAGGCGAGCGGGCCCGCAGCUCGAGCGGCCACGGUGAUCAGCCCUGAGGAGGCCGUGGAGUGGGUCAAGAAGGACCGGAGGCGCCUGCUCCACGUCGUCUACCGCGUCGGCGAUCUUGACAAGACUAUCAAGUUUUAUACGGAGUGCUUAGGGAUGAAGCUGCUGCGGAGAAGGGACAUCCCGGAGGAGAGGUACACCAACGCCUUUCUUGGGUACGGACCAGAGGACUCGCAUUUUGUUGUGGAGCUCACUUACAACUAUGGUGUCGAAAGUUACGAUAUUGGGUCUGGUUUUGGUCAUUUUGGAAUUGCUGUUGAGGAUGUCGAAAAAACAGUGGAACUUAUUAAAGCAAAGGGAGGAACAGUAACAAGGGAACCAGGUCCGGUAAAAGGUGGAAAGUCAGUCAUUGCCUUCAUUGAAGAUCCUGAUGGUUACAAAUUCGAGCUUAUAGAAAGAGGUCCCACACCUGAGCCUUUGUGCCAAGUAAUGCUUCGAGUGGGAGAUCUUGACCGUGCUAUAAGUUUCUAUGAGAAGGCAUUUGGUAUGGAACUUCUUCGCAGGAAAGACAAUCCUCAAUACAAGUAUACCAUUGCUAUGAUGGGAUAUGGCCCUGAAGACAAACAUGCUGUACUGGAGUUGACAUACAAUUAUGGUGUCAAGGAAUAUGAUAAAGGAAAUGCUUAUGCACAGAUUGCUAUUGGUACUGAUGAUGUCUACAAGACCGCGGAAGUCGUUAGACAAAACGGGGGACAAAUAACUCGUGAACCUGGUCCAUUACCUGGCAUUAGUACCAAGAUAACUGCCUGCACAGAUCCAGAUGGCUGGAAAUCAGUAUUUGUUGACAAUCUAGAUUUUCUCAAGGAGUUGGAAGAAUGA
rnacentral:rRNA from 1 species